AAAAGAUGAUGCAAGUCAAAUCAUACUUUUGGUAUUUAUCAAUGAGGAAGCGUGUUUAAUCAGAUGAGGAUGAAUAAAUGUCAGUGACAACACCACCAAGGCAUUCGAAGGUGACAGUGGCUAUGGCAGGACUGUUCUGCAGGCAUCACAACAGUUACUAUAAGAUCCCCAAACAUUUGCACCAUCUCUACAGAGGGUGUCGUGAAAUUCCGUCAAUUCUCACAACAUAGGUGCGAGCGAAAAAUGCCGCCUGGAUGAAGACAGCAUCGGACAGAGAUGGUGGGAGGGAAAUGAGGCAGGCGCAAAUAUCUGAGUGCAUCCUUGGAACACCGGGAUGAAAAAAACAAAACAAUAUUAUGUUAAAAACCCUUAAUGUUUAAUGCAGU